ACGAGUCAUGAGGCAAUCGGGGGCAGGGACGGGGAACCCACAUAUCGACCCUCGGCCGGCCCGCCCUUCACGGUGGCCGGACCGGAGAGUCUCGGGGUGAAGCCGCGACCAGCGGCCGGGCAAUCCUUCGCGCCCGAACCCGACAGCUAACCCCGCAGGCGUGCCGGAGGGAUUCC
rnacentral:sRNA from 1 species